CGGGGGGAGCAAGCGUUGUUCGGAUUUACUGGGCGUAAAGGGCGGGUGGGCGGCCACUGCAAGUCGGUUGUGAAAUCUCCGGGCUUAACUCGGAAAGGUCAAUCGAUACUGCAGGGCUAGAGUGCAGAAGGGGCAACUGGAAUUCUCGGUGUAGCGGUGAAAUGCGUAGAUAUCGAGAGGAACACCUGCGGCGAAGGCGGGUUGCUGGGCUGACACUGACGCUGAACUGCGAAAGCUAGGGGAGCGAACGGGAUUAGAUACCCCGGUAGUCCUAGCCUUAAACGAUGAAUGCUUGGUGUCUGGGGUUUUAUAGUCCCCGGGUGCCGUCGCUAACGCUUUAAGCAUUCCGCCUGGGGAGUACGGUCGCAAGACUG
rnacentral:rRNA from 1 species